rnacentral:snRNA from 1 species
AUACUUAACCUGGCAGGGGAGAUACCAUGAUCACGGAGGUGGUUUUCCCAGGGCAAGGCUUAUCCAUUGCACUCCGGAUGUGCUGACCUCUGCGAUUUCCCCAAAUGUGGGAAACUUGACUGCAUAAUUUGUGAUAGUGGGGGACUGCAUUUGCGCUCUCCCCUG